rnacentral:rRNA from 1 species
UACGUAGGGUGCAAGCGUUGUCCGGAAUUAUUGGGCGUAAAGAGCUCGUAGGCGGUUUGUCGCGUCGGCUGUGAAAGCCCGGAGCUCAACUCCGGGUCUGCAGUCGAUACGGGCAGACUUGAGUGUUGCAGGGGAGACUGGAAUUCCUGGUGUAGGCGGUGAAAUGCGCAGGAUAUCAAGGAGGAACACCGGUGGCGAAGGCGGGUCUCUGGGCAACAACGUGACG